UUUAUUCUGUUCAGUUGUUCACCUGUAGUUUCUUAGAGUGGCCAGUAGAGGUCACCCCACCGCUUUGUAUGAGAGAGGAUUCGGGCAGGGAGAUACGUGGGUGAGAUAUAUGAGCGUUUCCGCUCCCGAUUACCGGCGGAGAAGUGGUCAUUUCGUGAGAAGUGUGCGUUACUGAGCAACAGACCACACACACACACACAUACACCGCACCUAAACCUGUAUGUAACACCUGCUCCUCUGACAAGCCUGUUACCUCUGACCGUGUGAAGGCAAUACAAGCGUCUAAACCAU